GGUUAACGCUGGCGGCGUGCCUAACACAUGCAAGUCGAACGGUUCUAAGCGCGAGCUUAGGAUAGUGGCGAACGGGUGAGUAAAAGGUAGGAAUCUACCCCUUGGACGGAGAUAGCUACUGGAAACGGUAGGUAAACUUCGAUAAGCCCGAGAGGGGAAAGUGGUGAGGCAGCCGAGGGAUGAGCCUACUCUCCAUCAGGUAGUUGGUGAGAUAAAAGCUUACCAAGCCGAUGACGGAUAACCGGUGUGAGAGCAUGAACGGUCACAAGGGCACUGAGAGACGGGCCCUACUCCUACGGGAGGCAGCAGUGGGGAAUCUUGGACAAUGGGCGAAAGCCUGAUCCAGCGACGCCGCGUGGAGGAAGAAGUCCUUCGGGAUGUAAACUUCUGAACUAGCCGAAUAAAAGGCCUAGUGGACACACAGGAGAAGAAGUAGGCUAGGAAAGUCCCGGCUAACUACGUG
rnacentral:rRNA from 1 species